GUCUAUACAGCGACUGAUAUUUAUUUACCUGACACAUGACGAGGAGGCUGGCUCCAGCAGCGCGUCGAUAGAUCUUACCGCAUCUGAAGAGGAGGUUGGCUCCAGCAGAGCGGUUCCGGACCCUCAUUAUUAAUCGAAAGGAGUUGUGAUCUUACCACGGGUGGUGACGCAGGCAGCGUAGUGCCAGAGCCGUCAUUAUUCAUCGAAAGGAGUUGCGGAUCCGGUGACGAUGUGUCUAACUGGACAGAUACACAGCUGAACAUUUGGGAGCGUUCGUCUUGGUCCAGCGAGUGAGAGGAGAGGUCUCCGAUAAGGCGUCAGCAGACACCGUUAGCCGAACAAGAAGACAUCACCGACGACGAACGAUCAUCAUCGGCGGGGGGUGGGGGGUUCAUAGACAGACGCCGUUUGCUCUUCAAGCACAAAAUACUGUCUCGCUAGAUCAACUCAACGCUAUCUUAAGGGAGUCUAAUAUUCCUUUACACGAGUCCGUUGACAGACUGUGGGGUUCUGUCAGUGAGAUACAUACGAUUCUUAUGAGAUUGUAUGCUUUUAUCGAAGGUGUUAAUC